GAUGAAGAACGUAGCAAAAUGCGAUACUUGGUGUGAAUUGCAGAAUCCCGUGAACCAUCGAGUUUUUGAACGCAAGUUGCGCCCGAAGCCUUUUGGCCGAGGGCACGUCUGCCUGGGCGUCACGCAUCGCGUCGCCCCCCACAAUUCUCCGUAAAGGGAACAUGUGUUUUGGGGGCGGAUAUUGGUCUCCCGUGCUCAUGGCGUGGUUGGCCGAAAUAGGAGUCCUUUCGAUGGACGCACGAACUAGUGGUGGUCGUAAAAACCCUCGUCUUUUGUUUCGUGCUGUUGCUGGCAAGGUAAACUCUUUAAAAACCCCAAUGUGUCGUCUCUUGACGACGCUUCGACCGCGACCCCAGGUCAGGCGGGACUACCCGCUGAGUUUAAGCAUAUCAAUAAGCGGAGGA
rnacentral:misc_RNA from 1 species